CUCAUCUUCCCCCUUCUGUGGCCCCCUCCAAGCCCCACCCCCGUUAGCAGAGGGGGUGCCCUCCGGCUCCAGCCCCGACUCUCAUCGGCCAGCCGCGGACGCAGGAUCCUGAGGAAUUCACUCACCUCCUGCCCCAGCCGCGAUCCCGGCCAAGCGCCGCCUCCCGGCAGCAGCCGCUGCGGGGCCUGCGGUACUGGAAAUGAGGGUGACAACUCACUGGAGAGAGGAACCAGGGAUGAGACACGGAGCCUAGAAGGAGAAACUGAGCCUCUGCCCUUGCCCCCCGUGGAAGCACCCAAAAUGGAGUAGGAAGAAAUGGAGGCUGAGCUGCCUUCCCAGAAAGGUGGGGACCUGGGACCCAGGAAGACGACACGGAACUCUGCCUGGCCACUCCUCAGGCGAGGGAAGGACCUUCUCAACCCAGAUCCAGAUGCUCCUUCACCUCUCCCUGGGUCAGGUGGCUGCAUGUCCACCCCCAGAUUGCCCUGGUGGCAUCUCUCCCUUCCCAGCCACAGCGCCUUCCUGGGGCAAAAAAAAAAGCAACUUCCCACCUUUUCACUCAAAUCCUCUAGUUGCUCUGCCUGUGGUUUCUCUGAAAUUUCCCCAUUUCCGCGCAUCUCCUGCUUCUUGCCCACCCUCACACUUAGGGGACUGUGGGACUUCAGCCCCCACAGCCCAUCUCAUCCCA